AAAAUUUUAAUGGCCGCAGUAAUUUGACUGUGCAAAGGUAGCAUAAUCAUUAGUUUUUUAAUUGAAAGCUUGUAUGAAUGAUUGGACGAGAUAAAUUCUGUCUUUAGAUAAUAAAUAGAAUUUAAUUUUUGAGUUAAAAAGCUUAAAUUUAAAUAAAAGACGAGAAGACCCUAUAGAUCUUUAUUAAAUUUAAAUUAUUAUUAUUUAAGAUUAUUUUAUUUAUUAAUUUUGGUUUAAUUUUAUUGGGGUAAUAAGAAGAUUAAAAAAAUUCUUUUAUAUUGUUACAAAAAUUAUUGAUUUUAAGAUCCUAAAAUUUAGAUUAUAAGAUUAAGUUACCUUAGGGAUAACAGCGUAAUUUCUUUAGAGAGUUCAUAUUGAUAAAGAUGUUUGCGACCUCGAUGUUGGAUUAAAAGUUAUUUUAGGUGCAGUAGUUUAAAAUUUUGGUCUGUUCGACCAUUAAACUUUU
rnacentral:rRNA from 1 species